CGGGUUUUGGCAGCGGCUACACAUGCAAGUCGAACGGUAACAGGAAGCAGCUUGCUUCUUUGCUGACGAGUGGCGGACGGGUGAGUAAUGUCUGGGAAACUGCCUGAUGGAGGGGGAUAACUACUGGAAACGGUAGCUAAUACCGCAUAACGUCGCAAGACCAAAGAGGGGGACCUUCGGGCCUCUUGCCAUCGGAUGUGCCCAGAUGGGAUUAGCUUGUUGGUGGGGUAACGGCUCACCUAGGCGACGAUCCCUAGCUGGUCUGAGAGGAUGACCAGCCACACUGGAACUGAGAACACGGUCCAGACUCCUACGGGAGGCAGCAGUGGGGAAUAUUGCACAAUGGGCGCAAGCCUGAUGCAGCCAUGCCGCGUGUAUGAAGAAGGCCUUCGGGUUGUAAAGUACUUUCAGCGGGGAGGAAGGGAGUAAAGUUAAUACCUUUGCUCAUUGACGUUACCCGCAGAAGAAGCACCGGCUAACUCCGUGCCAGCAGCCGCGGUAAUACGGAGGGUGCAAGCGUUAAUCGGAAUUACUGGGCGUAAAGCGCACGCAGGCGGUUUGUUAAGUCAGAUGUGAAAUCCCCGGGCUCAACCUGGGAACUGCAUCUGAUACUGGCAAGCUUGAGUCUCGUAGAGGGGGGUAGAAUUCCAGGUGUAGCGGUGAAAUGCGUAGAGAUCUGGAGGAAUACCGGUGGCGAAGGCGGCCCCCUGGACGAAGACUGACGCUCAGGUGCGAAAGCGUGGGGAGCAAACAGGGAUUAGAUACCCUGGUAGUCCACGCCGUAAACGAUGUCGACUUGGAGGUUGUGCCCUUGAGGCGUGGCUUCCGGAGCUAACGCGUUAAGUCGACCGCCUGGGGAGUACGGCCGCAAGGUUAAAACUCAAAUGAAUUGACGGGGGCCCGCACAAGCGGUGGAGCAUGUGGUUUAAUUCGAUGCAACGCGAAGAACCUUACCUGGUCUUGACAUCCACGGAAGUUUUCAGAGAUGAGAUAUGUGCCUUCGGGAACCGUGAGACAGGUGCUGCAUGGCUGUCGUCAGCUCGUGUUGUGAAAUGUUGGGUUAAGUCCCGCAACGAGCGCAACCCUUAUCCUUUGUUGCCAGCGGUCCGGCCGGGAACUCAAAGGAGACUGCCAGUGAUAAACUGGAGGAAGGUGGGGAUGACGUCAAGUCAUCAUGGCCCUUACGACCAGGGCUACACACGUGCUACAAUGGCGCAUACAAAGAGAAGCGACCUCGCGAGAGCAAGCGGACCUCAUAAAGUGCGUCGUAGUCCGGAUUGGAGUCUGCAACUCGACUCCAUGAAGUCGGAAUCGCUAGUAAUCGUGGAUCAGAAUGCCACGGUGAAUACGUUCCCGGGCCUUGUACACACCGCCCGUCACACCAUGGGAGUGGGUUGCAAAAGAAGUAGGUAGCUUAACCUUCGGGAGGGCGCUUACCACUUGGAUCCUGGUUGGG
rnacentral:rRNA from 1 species